UUUGUUACUUCAAACCAAUCGGACUUCGGUCUGACAUCAAGUGAUAUUGAACAAUUUAGCUGAUCGCACGGUCUAAGAACCGGCGACAUAUCCUUCAAAUGUCUGCCUUAUCAACUUUCGAUGGUAGAUUAUGCGCCUACCAUGGUUGUAACGGGUAACGGAGAAUCAGGGUUUGAUUCCGGAGAGGGAGCCUGAGAAACGGCUACCACAUCCAAGGAAGGCAGCAGGCACGCAAAUUACCCACUCCCGGCACGGGGAGGUAGUGACGAAAAAUAACAAGCUGGUCUCAAUGAGUUCCAGCAUUGUAAUGGGAACAAUUUAAAUCUUUUAUCGAGGAUCUAUUGGAGGGCAAGUCUGGUGCCAGCAGCCGCGGUAAUUCCAGCUCCAAUAGCGUAUAUUAAAGUUGCUGCGGUUAAAAAGCUCGUAGUUGGAUCUAGGAUUAGGGCUACGGUCGUUCAGCUUGGACGUACUGUAUGCCCGACUCCUUUUCUCUAGUAUUCGAUUGUUGCUCUUAAAUGAGUGACUUUAGUUGCUGGAACUUUUACCUUGAAAAAAUUGAAGUGCUCAAAGCAGGUU
rnacentral:rRNA from 1 species